GACGAACGCUGGCGGCGUGCUUAACACAUGCAAGUCGAACGGAAAGGCCCUGCUUUUGUGGGGUGCUCGAGUGGCGAACGGGUGAGUAACACGUGAGUAACCUGCCCUUGACUUUGGGAUAACUUCAGGAAACUGAGGCUAAUACCGGAUAGGAGCUCCUGCUGCAUGGUGGGGGUUGGAAAGUUUCGACGGUUGGGGAUGGACUCGCGGCUUAUCAGCUUGUUGGUGGGGUAGAGGCUUACCAAGGCUUUGACGGGUAGCCGGCCUGAGAGGGUGACCGGCCACAUUGGGACUGAGAUACGGCCCAGACUCCUACGGGAGGCAGCAGUGGGGAAUAUUGCACAAUGGGCGGAAGCCUGAUGCAGCAACGCCGCGUGCGGGAUGACGGCCUUCGGGUUGUAAACCGCUUUCGCCUGUGACGAAGCGUGAGUGACGGUAAUGGGUAAAGAAGCACCGGCUAACUACGUG
rnacentral:rRNA from 1 species